rnacentral:lncRNA from 1 species
GAGAAUACGGAACAGAGGUGGGCGCAGGAUAAGCACGUGGGAGUUGCCUUUAGGAUUGCACGCUGCCAAUGGCAUGUCUCCAUAGUUGCAGAAGAAAAAAAAAAUAAGGCCUCCAACAUCAUAUUCUUCUUAGAAAUAACAAAGCAAGAUUUUCUGCAAAUAAAAAUUCCCUGCUUUUCCUUAUACGGUUCGAAGUUUUCGAUGAAUGAUUGGCAGUUUCUGUAUUGGGAGAGUAUCCACAUGCCCCUCUAACUAGCUCUCCUUUUCUGUGCUCUCAACCGUUCCUUAUUUUAUUUGUG